CUAGGGCUAUCCACAUCAAGGGUGUGUAUGGCUAUGGGGAAUCCUCUUACACCCCUCCUAGGAAACCUGGAUGCUCGACUACCUCCCUGAAGUGUGUGUACACAUAUGCACAAAUCAGGGGGAAUAAACAAGAACUGGAAAUCUAUGUCACAGAGCCAUGAUCUCACUGCAAUUUCAGAGACAUGGUGGGAUAGCUCACCACUGCAAUGUUGUCAUGGAUUCCUGUGUACUUUUUAGAAAGGACAGGUCAGUGAGGUGAGGCAGUGGAGUUGGUCUUUAUGUGAAAGAACAUCAAGCUUUGCCCAGGGACAGACAAGGAAUUGAGAUCUUAUGGGUAAAAAUUCAGGGACAGGCUAAAAUGGGUGACUCAGAUAAGGAAGUUGAUGAGGCUUCUAUGGGCAGCUGGAAGUAGCCUUGAGAUCAUGGGCCUUGGUCCUCCUCUGAGAAUUCAACAACCCUGGUAUUUUGAGGCACAAUGUGGCUUGGAACACAGUCCAGCAAGUUCCUGCAGAUACAGCAAGUUCCUGUUAAUCCAAGUGGUGGAGGAGCCAAUGAGGAGAGUGCCCUACAGAGGUCCCUUCCCACUCCAAUAAUUCUGUGAUUCUGUGAACUUAAAUGGUUGUAUAUUGAGACACCAGCAUCUCCAGAUCUCUUUAUGCAGGGCUGCUCUCCAGCCACUCCUCUAUCCAUUUAGACUUGUAUCAGGCACUACUCCGUACCAGAUGCAGAAUGCACCACUUUAACUUGUUACAUUUCAUGCCAUUAAUCAAAGCCAAAUGCUCAUGUAUCCACAUCUUUCUGCAAGGUCUCUUGUCCUCAAGAGUCAACAGCAACUUUCAAGCUCAGUAUUUUCAACAAACAUACUAAUGGUGCAUUCAACUCCUGCCUCCUGAUCAUGGAUAAAUACAUUGAACUGAACUGGUGCUAGAUUUGAAUCUUGAAUUUGAAUGAGGAACACUGGGGAUGACUUUGUCAACCCCAUGCACUACAACUCUUUGAGCUCUGCCAUUCUGCCAAUUCUUUAACCAGUGCACCACAAACCCACUCAUCUCACUGUUGAACAGCUUGUUCAGACAGAUGUCAUAAGGGACAGUAUCAAAAACCCCACUAGGUGGGUGGCUGUGUCAUAGAAGGGUAUCAGAUGAGUUACUCAGGGCUUUCCCUUUGUGAACUCAUGUUGACUGUACUUAAGGGUUGUAUUGUUCUUAAAAUGCCUUUCAAUAGUACCCAGUAUGAUCUCUGCAAAUUUUCCCUGGUAAUGAGAUUAGACUAACAGUGUCCGGAAAUGGAAAGUCACUGCUACUGCAUGUCCUCUAACCGAGAAGACUGGCCAGACUAAUGUAUAUUGAUGUUAUUAAUGACUGAUGCAAAAGCAUUA